rnacentral:rRNA from 1 species
CAUGCAGGUCGAGGGGCAGCAUUUUAGUUUGCUUGCAAACUAAAGAUGGCGACCGGCGCACGGGCUGAGCUAACACGCUAUCCAACCUGCCGAUAACUCGGGGAUAGCCUUUCGAAAGAAAGAUUAAUAUCCGAUAGUAUAUUAAAACCGCAUGGUUUUACUAUUAAAGAAUUUCGGUUAUCGAUGGGGAUGCGUUCCAUUAGUUUGUUGGCGGGGUAACGGCCCACCAAGACUACGAUGGAUAGGGGUUCUGAGAGGAAGGUCCCCCACAUUGGAACUGAGACACGGUCCAAACUCNUACGGGAGGCAGCAGUGAGGAAUAUUGGUCAAUGGACGAGAGUCUGAACCAGCCAAGUAGCGUGAAGGAUGACUGCCCUAUGGGUUGUAAACUUCUUUUAUAUGGGAAUAAAGUAUUCCACGUGGUGGGAUUUUGUAUGUACCAUAUGAAUAAGGAUCGGCUAACUCCGUGCCAGCAGCCGCGGUAAUACGGAGGAUCCGAGCGUUAUCCGGAUUUAUUGGGUUUAAAGGGAGCGUAGGUGGAUUGUUAAGUCAGUUGUGAAAGUUUGCGGCUCAACCGUAAAAAUUGCAGUUGAAACUGGCAGUCUUGAGUACAGUAGAGGUGGGCGGAAUUCGUGGUGUAGCGGUGAAAUGCUUAGAUAUCACGAAGAACUCCGAUUGCGAAGGCAGCUCACUAGACUGCAACUGACACUGAUGCUCGAAAGUGUGGGUAUCAAACAGGAUUAGAUACCCUGGUAGUCCACACAGUAAACGAUGAAUACUCGCUGUUUGCGAUAUACAGUAAGCGGCCAAGCGAAAGCAUUAAGUAUUCCACCUGGGGAGUACGCCGGCAACNGGUGAAACUCNAAAGGAAUUGACGGGGGCCCCCACCAAGCGGAGGAACAUGUGGUUUAAUUCGAUGAUACGCGAGGAACCUUACCCGGGCUUAAAUUGCAUUUGAAUAAUCUGGAAACAGGUUAGCCGCAAGGCAAAUGUGAAGGGGCUGCAUGGUUGUCGUCAGCUCGUGCCGUGAGGUGUCGGCUUAAGUGCCAUAACGAGCGCAACCCUUAUCUUUAGUUACUAACAGGUCAUGCUGAGGACUCUAGAGAGACUGCCGUCGUAAGAUGUGAGGAAGGUGGGGAUGACGUCAAAUCAGCACGGCCCUUACGUCCGGGGCUACACACGUGUUACAAUGGGGGGUACAGAAGGCAGCUACCUGGCGACAGGAUGCUAAUCCCAAAAACCUCUCUCAGUUCGGAUCGAAGUCUGCAACCCGACUUCGUGAAGCUGGAUUCGCUAGUAAUCGCGCAUCAGCCAUGGCGCGGUGAAUACGUUCCCGGGCCUUGUACACACCGCCCGUCAAGCCAUGAAAGCCGGGGGUACCUGAAGUACGAACCGCAAGGAG